CCUACAUGAAGCUGGAAUUGCUAGUAAUCACAGGUCAGCAUACUGUGGUGAAUACGUUCCCGGGCCUUGUACACACCGCCCGUCAAGCCAUGGAAGCCGGGGGUGCCUGAAGUCUGUAACCGCGAGGAUCGGCCUAGGGCAAAACUGGUAACUGGGGCUAAGUCGUAACAAGGUAAC
rnacentral:rRNA from 1 species